rnacentral:rRNA from 1 species
UAUUAUAUUUAAUAUAUUUAUUAAAUACUUGGGUAGUAUUAGUUUUGCUUGAAACCCAAAGAAUUUGGCGGUAUUUUAGUCUUUUCAGAGGAAUCUGUCCUGUAAUUGAUAAUACACGAUUUGUUUUACUUGAUUUUGUUAUCAGUUUAUAUACCGCCGUCAUAAGAUUAUUUUUGGUAAAGAAUUAAAUUUUCUUGUUUUUAUAGUAAAUUAUAUGUCAGGUCAAGGUGUAGCUUAUAAUUAAGUGGAGAUGGAUUACAAUAAUAGUAAUUAUAUGGAUAAUUAAUUUAAGUUUGAUUUGAAGGUGGAUUUGAUUGUAAAUUUAUUUUUAAUUUUUAUAUUGAUUAAAGCUCUAAAAUGUGUACAUAUCGCCCGUCGCUCUCGUUAUUAAGGUGAG